rnacentral:ncRNA from 1 species
CAUUAUGAUGGUCCUUGUGGAUGCUAAUGCAAUGUGAUUUACGCCUAGUGCUUUGCAUGGAAAAGUGAAGAAAUUCAAUCAAGUGAGGGUAAACAUCGGGAGUAACUAUGACUCUCUUAAUGUAGCCAUAUGCCUCUUCAUCUAAUUAGUGAUGUGCAUGAAUGGAUUAACAAGAUUCCCACUGUCCCUAGUUACUAUGUAGAGAAACCACAACCAAGGGAACGUGCCUGGAAGAAUUAGCAGGGAAAGAAUACCUUCUUGAGCUUAACUCUAGUCUGACUUUUUGAAAUGACUUGAGAGGUGUAGAAUAAGUGGGAGUUGUUUUCAGAUCAAGUGAAAUACCACUACUUUUAUCGUUAUUUUUCUUAUUCCAUGAGGUGGAUAUUGGAUAUUCCAGAUAUGUUAAAGAUAAAAAACAUUUCCUCAAAGUGUUUUCAUUGAUGGCAAUGGCCGAGAGCUCAUUCUUCACACACUUGAUGGAAAUGAGUUUAGGAAACCAAAGAGUGUAAUUUAUUUUAAGGAUGAAAAAAGUUCUUACAAUCCCUAUGUUUUUAGCCAACACCCCCUU